GGAGUAUUUGGCAAUGGGGGAAACCCUGACCGAGCAACGCCGCGUGUGUGAUGAAGGCCUUCGGGUCGUAAAACACUGUGAUUCUCUGGGAAACUCAUGGGGAGUGGAAAGCCUCAUGACUGACCGGACUAUUAGAAAGCAACUGCUAACUACGUGCCAGCAGCAGCGGUAAUACGUAGGUUGCAAGCGUUAUCCGGAAUUAUUGGGCGUAAAGAGUGAGCAGGCGGCUUUGCAAGCCGGGGGUCAAAGGCAGUGGCUUAACCAUUGUUCGUCCCCGGAACUGCAUGGCUAGAGUGCUGGAGAGGCAAGCGGAACUCCACAUGUAGCGGUGAAAUGCGCAGAUAUGUGGAAGAACACCAGUGGCGAAGGCGGCUUGCUAGACAGUAACUGACGCUCAGUCACGAAAGCGUGGGGAGCAAAUA
rnacentral:rRNA from 1 species